GACGAACGCUGGCGGCGUGCCUAAUACAUGCAAGUUGAGCGCUGAAGGUUGGUACUUGUACCAACUGGAUGAGCAGCGAACGGGUGAGUAACGCGUGGGGAAUCUGCCUUUGAGCGGGGGACAACAUUUGGAAACGAAUGCUAAUACCGCAUAACAACUUUAAACACAAGUUUUAAGUUUGAAAGAUGCAAUUGCAUCACUCAAAGAUGAUCCCGCGUUGUAUUAGCUAGUUGGUGAGGUAAAGGCUCACCAAGGCGAGGAUACAUAGCCGACCUGAGAAGGUGAUCGGCCACAUUGGGACUGAGACACGGCCCAAACUCCUACGGGAGGCAGCAGUAGGGAAUCUUCGGCAAUGGACGAAAGUCUGACCGAGCAACGCCGCGUGAGUGAAGAAGGUUUUCGGAUCGUAAAACUCUGUUGGUAGAGAAGAACGUUGGUGAGAGUGGAAAGCUCAUCAAGUGACGGUAACUACCCAGAAAGGGACGGCUAACUACGUG
rnacentral:rRNA from 1 species